GUGGGGAAUCUUGCGCAAUGGGCGAAAGCCUGACGCAGCCAUGCCGCGUGAAUGAUGAAGGUCUUAGGAUUGUAAAAUUCUUUCACCGGGGACGAUAAUGACGGUACCCGGAGAAGAAGCCCCGGCUAACUUCGUGCCAGCAGCCGCGGUAAUACGAAGGGGGCUAGCGUUGCUCGGAAUUACUGGGCGUAAAGGGCGCGUAGGCGGACAGUUUAGUCAGAGGUGAAAGCCCAGGGCUCAACCUUGGAAUUGCCUUUGAUACUGGCUGUCUUGAGUACGGGAGAGGUGAGUGGAACUCCGAGUGUAGAGGUGGAAUUCGUAGAUAUUCGGAAGAACACCAGUGGCGAAGGCGACUCACUGGCCCGUUACUGACGCUGAGGCGCGAAAGCGUGGGGAGCAAACAGGAUUAGAAACCCCAGUAGUCC
rnacentral:rRNA from 1 species